UACGAGGGGGGCGAGCGUUGUUCGGAAUUAUUGGGCGUAAAGGGUGCGUAGGCGGUUGUUUAAGUCUGUCGUGAAAUCCCCGGGCUCAACCUGGGAAUGGCGAUGGAUACUGGGCAGCUAGAGUGUGUCAGAGGAUGGUGGAAUUCCCGGUGUAGCGGUGAAAUGCGUAGAGAUCUGGAGGAAUACCGGUGGCGAAGGCGGCAUCCUGGACCGGCAUUGACGCUGAUGAGCGAAAGCCAGGGGAGCAAACGGG
rnacentral:rRNA from 1 species